CUCCAAUGAUGAUCCAGCCAUGCUAAUACUGAUACACCAGACAGACACUUUUCUGCCUUUGUGCAAGUGAGUGCAACUCACCUUCUCACACUGAUGGUGUCAGUGUGGGCUGAGGAGA